UGGGCGGAGCCGUGCCGCUUUCGCCACUGCUGGCGUCUGUCCGCGUGGGGACGCCUUUGCCCUGCCUUUCUGAGUUGGCCAGGCCCAGGGGUGGGGAGUUCCAGGAGCACUGGGAUAAUCAAGCAAAAGAAAGAUGAGCUUCGUCUAUGGAUUGCAGUCUGCUACUAGAAACUGUCUUUCCUUCCGAUUUAAUUUGCGGACCAACUGGAGAAAAUGUAACACAACAGCUAUAACCUCACGGGACUGUCAUCAAGUACAACUUAACCACAUAGUAAAUAAUAUUGAAUGCAAACUGGGAGUAAAUCGGUGUAAUAGGGUGACUUCUCUGCCUGGAAACUCACAUUUCUAUAGAACUUUUAAUAACAAAAGUGCAGGAUACCUCUCGAGUCUUAAAAGCAAGGACAAUAAGUGUACAGCAUGGCGUGACCCUUUUCCAAGACAGAAACUGAUAGAAGAAGUUGCAGUAGGUCCCGCUCUUUCAGUAUUGCAUCCUCUAAACUGCUUUCCCAUAAGAGACAUCAGGAGUUUCCACACUUCUUCACGGUGGCAAGCUGCUCCCUUCCCUCUCUUGUGGAUAAUUCUUAAACCAGUGCAGAAACUACUUGCAAUCAUUGUUGGCAGGGGCAUAAGGAAAUGGUGGCACGCACUUCCUCCCAACAAGAAGGAACACUUUAAAGAAAGUGUAAGGGAGAACAAAUGGAAGUUACUCCUGGGGUUGAGCACUUUCGGAUUUCUCUUCGUAGUGUUUUAUUUCACUCACCUGGAAGUGAGUCCAAUCACAGGAAGGACCAAGCUACUGCUGUUGGGGAAAGAGCAUUUCAGUCUUUUAGCAGAACUGGAAUAUGAAGCAUACAUGGAAGAAUUUAAAAAUGAUAUGCUAACUGAGAAAGAUGCCCAGUACCUGAACAUUAAAGAAGUGUUUUAUCAUUUAAUUGAAUGCAAUAAAGAUAUCCCAGGGAUCUCCGAGAUCAAGUGGAUCAUUCAUGUGGUUGAUUCCCCAGAUAUAAAUGCCUUUGUGCUUCCGAAUGGACAUGUGUUUGUCUUCACUGGGCUUUUCAAUGCUGUGGCUAGUGUGCACCAACUUGCCUUCAUUCUGGGCCAUGAAAUAGCACAUGCAGUACUUGAGCAUGCUGCAGAAAAGGCCAGCGUGGUUCAUUUAUUGGAUUUCCUAGGUCUAAUUUUCCUCACAAUGAUUUGGGCCGUUUGUCCUCGAGACAGCUUGGCAAUUGUGGGCCAGUGGUUGCAGUCUACAUUGAAAGAGUAUUUGUUCAGUAGACCAUACAGUAGAACACUGGAGGCUGAAGCUGACAAAAUUGGACUACAGCUUGCUGCAAAGGCUUGUGUGGACGUCAGAUCCAGUUCAGUGUUUUGGCAGCAGCUGGAACUUGCAGAUACCCUCUUUGGUCACCCCAGCGUGCCAGAAUGGUUAUCCACACACCCUUCUCAUGGAAACCGAGUUGAGCAGUUGGAUAGACUCAUACCCGAGGCUCUCGAAAUUAGAGAGACCUGCAAUUGCCCACCACUUUCUGAACCAGACCCUCGAUUAGUGUUCAAACUCGCCAUGAAGGAUUUUCUUAAAGAAUCAGAGAAAAAGGACCUAAAUACCACUGCUGAGAAACAGAAAGUGGGUCCUCUUCCCAUUGGAAAACAGAAGCAAACAUCAGGAGCAUAAAUAAUUAAGAAAGAACUAGCAGUUGAAUUGAAAUAUGUGAGACAACGGAUAUAUGAAGAAUAUAGCAAUCCUUAUCACUUUACAUUACUUGAGGAAAAUGUUUGAAAUGAAAAAAAUGAUAUUCACCGUCAAAUCAUGUAUAUUACAGAUGAUGUCAAGAUGGCUGUGGGCAGCUCCUGGCGUAUGUGAUUCCUUCACAUCCAGGUGGGAGGAGUGACUCACCUGGGCACUAUUGAAACAGCCUUCAACACCACCUGCACCCUCUGAGGAGCACCCCAGGAGCCACUGCAGGGUGGGGAUGGGAUUAUGCUGAGGAUGGGUACAGCCAACACCACCCAACAGCUGCUGAGGAUGGCGGGAGACAUGGCAGCCACAGACUCGACUAAGUAACGACUAGAAACCCCUUACCACUUAUCCUCUGUCAACAGGCUGAGAGACACAACAAUUCCUUGAAGAUUUGCUCUGAAGUGACAUUUAAUCUGAGCACAAAAACGUAGCCUGAGUUUCACAUUGAUAUGAUAAUACAUUUGCAUGAACCUAUUUGCUUUACCACUUACAAGAUAUCCACCUCCCCACCACCACCUGAAUUAUCUCCUUUCCUCAAAAUCAACCUAUGAGAUUGAAGGACAAGUGGUGUUAUUGGCUCCUAGGGGAGAAAACUAAAGCUGGAGGAAUUAGGCAAGUCAUCCAAGUGUGCACUUCAGGUAAAUGGCAGAACUGGGGCUGGGAGGAACCAAUGCGUUGAUUGUAAUCCAGUGCUCUUUCGGCAAUACCACGUUCUUUGGAGAGGGAAGUACUGCCUCCGUUUUUCAGCUGGAAAACGAAGCACAAGGAUAUUAAGCAGCUGUGUGCCCAGCACUGCUCAGCAUGUAACGGCAGAACUGAGAUUCAGACCCUUGUCUUCUGACUCCAAGGUCUGUGCUCUUCAUUCAUCUACUGCCACUGCAGUGGGCAGAUCUCAUAAAGGAGGUGGGAAUGGAGAGUGUUCAUUUCCCUUCACCCUGUAAAUAGCAGGGCUAAUACCCUUUGUCCCCUUAUUUAAAAGCACUCGUUUUAAUGCUCUAGGGCAGGUGGUAAAAAUUACCAUUCACUUAUGUUCACAUACAUGAAAGAUAAAAUUCCUGUGUAUCAUCUGUUAAUGUGUUUGUAUUAGGCUCUAGAGAGUUUCUUAAUCUGUGGUGAGAAAUAUCUCUUACUUCAUUACUAGAAAAAUCCUAUUGGUGUUCUACCCUUACCCCUUGCUCCCCAACUUCCACCGGAAAAUCAACAGUCCUCACAGUGAGGCCAGUGGCUCCUCGCCUUUAACCACCAGGGACUCUUUUUACAUUCCCUGGCUCUUUGUGCAUGGACUUUUACCCCGUAAUGUUUUCUGUCUUGAAGGUUUGGAGUAGACUCGUGACCAGGUUCUCAUAACCAUGAUCUCUUGUUGUGCUGGCAGUUAGGAGCUGAGCUAGUUGGGUAUGGGGGGGCGUAUGUCAGUGGGCGCCUGCUUGCAGAUCUCGGAAUUUCUGUGAUAUCAUCACAGACCUAUCAGGAGUUCUGUUCAUCAUGUGAAGUUCCAAAAAUUCCAGCCCAAAAGGAAAAUUUGUGAUUUUAAUUAGUUUGGGUAGCCUAAUUAUGUGAGAGAAAAUACAAAAUUUUUAGUUAGGCUUUUUGAACUGCAAAGCAGACCUGGCAGAUUCCCAAUACCAUUUUUAUAGAUUAUGAGGGGCCUGGGCCUCGUCCUAUGCAGCAUGGGUCGAAAAUCAGAUUUGCUUUUUUUCUCUCUUCAGAAUAUAAAAGAAAAGAAAAUUUACAUGUAUUAAUUUUGACCAAUAUAUUAUAGUAUAACCAUAUUUUUGUAGGUUAGGAAUGAUGGAUGGUCUACUUAAGGGUUCUGUUAUCCUAUAGUUAAGGAUAUAUUUUUUAAAGUACCUUAUCUUGGCACAGAAAAAAAAUAGGUUGAAUAUAAUUUUUUCCACAGCUCUUCCCCUCGGAUGUUAUAGUAGCCCUCAGAGAAUCAAGGGCAGCGAGACUAGUCUUACUCUUUUAUCUGGGGACAUGGGACAGUAACAUUUGCCCUACUUACUUCCCAGCAUCCUUUUAAGUAAUGUCUAUAUGCUUUCUACAACAUCUGCAGUGCUGCACCCAUGAUGUUUCUAUAUUCCAGCAUUGCUUAGUCUGGCCUGUGAGUGUUAGGAGAGGUCAUUUCCAAAUGCAAGGCCAUUUGCCUGAUCUGAUGCAGCCCAGAAUUGAUGAUGAACUGUUCUUACUCAAGUGGGAGAAAAGGGGAAACUUCUUUGUAGCACGUUUUAUUUUAAUCUGGUUUAUGAGUGUAUGUACCUUUAACCUAGUUAUUCUAUUAAUCCCCUAAUGCUUGUAGAGAACACUAGAGAGUGUUCCUGAUUCUGAUGCUCAAAUCAAGAGAAAUAAAGUCAACUUUUUC